UACGUAGGGUGCGAGCGUUAAUCGGAAUUACUGGGCGUAAAGCGUGCGCAGGCGGUUUGUUAAGCCAGAUGUGAAAGCCCCGGGCUCAACCUGGGAACUGCGUUUGGUACUGGCAAGCUAGAGUACGGCAGAGGGGGGUGGAAUUCCACGUGUAGCAGUGAAAUGCGUAGAGAUGUGGAGGAACACCGAUGGCGAAGGCAGCCCCCUGGGCUAACACUGACGCUCAUGCACGAAAGCGUGGGGAGCAAACAGG
rnacentral:rRNA from 1 species